rnacentral:lncRNA from 1 species
GAAGGCUCUGAUUACCACUUGUCAGGAUUUAACCUGAUAAUUUCUCAGAAGAAGAAAUAAUAAGAGGGAAAUAGGAAGGGAAGAACAUGAAUUGAGAGAAAAUGAGGGAAGUAAGGGAAAUCUUAUUGAGAAUAUUUCUGUAAUGAAUCUUGUCUGCCAAGCCUUUCCUAUACUUGGCUAUUUAUAGAAAUUUCCUACACCUCCAUGCAACGUGACUGAAGCUGACAACUAACCAUGCAACUAACUAUAACAAACUGCAACAGAAUUCCCAACUAACUUCUUAAGUGCAACGACACCGUAUGUGCCAGAAGUCUGAGCUGCCUUCAAAACGACUCCGCAUUCCCCAAAGCUACGUCGCUUUACCUAGUGUUCCUGACAGCGUACUCCAGGGUUUAGCUGACUGCCUGUCUGACUCUAGUCAGGACUCACUACAAUACACUCCCAAAGUAAUAUUUACUCCAUCAAUUCGAACAUAACAUUCAUAGUUAUAUAUGAAGCAACAGGAUUAAAGUAAGAAUUUAUCCACUAAUUCCCAUAGUACAAGAUUGUCUACAAUAAAUACAAAAUAGAGACUUUAGGUUCAAGCUAUUGCUAUCUCAUCUUCUUUCGCCCUCAUAUCCCGUAAGAAAAACAAACUAAAGUGUUGAGUUUACACCCUGUGAAGUUCCAAGUAGGCAAUAAAAAAACAAACAAUCAUUUGUCAACCACAAUAUCAAUCUUAUAAUAGCAAAACAAAAUCCAAGUCUCAAUAGCAACUUUUGAAAUAAAAUAACACAAUUCAUUAAAAGGAUGCAAGAUCACUAUAGAAGCCAAUUCGAUAUCACUGCACACUCUGCCAAUCACCCCUUAUAUCCUCCAACAUAGUAAACAAUCCCCUUCAAUUAGUACUCGUUUCAAUAAUCAGCAUACUACAAGAUAAUACUAGGGAUGGCAACG